UCACCUAUACCUGAGUUGCCUUUUUGAUUUCUUUUAUUUUAUUUAUUUCACUGGAUCAUUCACUUAUUUUCAUCGGUCCCCUACGUAGAGGAUGCGUAGGCCGAAGCUGACUGUUGGGAUAAGCUACUAGGGACUUAUACUGAAAUGAUGAUUAAGGCCAUGGUAUAUGGGGUUGCGGGAAUGAUUCCUAUAUUUAUGAAGUCU
rnacentral:lncRNA from 1 species